UUGAGUUGAGAUGCAUAAGAGGAUUUUGGAACAACUCAAUUCAGCUGCGAGAAUACUAAUAAAAUCAUUUGGUUUUGUUUUUCCAUUUGUUUUGUUUCUCUUUUCUUUUUGUUGCAGGCACAACAAGUAUACAUGAAAAUUUUACAGCAUGUUGGGAUGUGUCGCUCUUUCUUGUCCCUAGAUCAAUUUGUAUGAUUAAAAUUAAUUAGAUUAAAACUAAUUAGCCAG
rnacentral:misc_RNA from 1 species